rnacentral:rRNA from 1 species
GAUGAACGCUGGCGGCGUGCCUAAUACAUGCAAGUCGAGCGAACAGACGAGGAGCUUGCUCCUCUGACGUUAGCGGCGGACGGGUGAGUAACACGUGGAUAACCUACCUAUAAGACUGGGAUAACUUCGGGAAACCGGAGCUAAUACCGGAUAAUAUAUUGAACCGCAUGGUUCAAUAGUGAAAGACGGUUUUGCUGUCACUUAUAGAUGGAUCCGCGCCGCAUUAGCUAGUUGGUAAGGUAACGGCUUACCAAGGCAACGAUGCGUAGCCGACCUGAGAGGGUGAUCGGCCACACUGGAACUGAGACACGGUCCAGCCUCCUACGGGAGGCAGCAGUAGGGAAUCUUCCGCAAUGGGCGAAAGCCUGACGGAGCAACGCCGCGUCAGUGAUGAAGGUCUUCGGAUCGUAAAACUCUGUUAUUAGGGAAGAACAAAUGUGUAAGUAACUAUGCACGUCUUGACGGUACCUAAUCAGAAAGCCACGGCUAACUACGUG